CAUCAGCGCACUGGAUCUCGAUGCUACAUUGCACAGGCCCAUGUUGUGGAUGAUAUGGAAGGCAUUAUGAGUGAACCAGUACAAGAUGGACAGGAACCAAAGUCAGCAAAAGAAGUUGUUUCUCAGGUUGUCAAAUCAACUACUUUUCUUCGUGUUGCAGGUGUUUGUUCAGCCUCCAAGAGUACCUCUAGAGGUGCAAUAUCAUCACAGGUCCACGAUCUUCAGGUUGAGCUUGAGAAUGAGAAGCAAGAAAAAGGAGAACUUCGACAAGAGUUGGAUAAUUUGAAGAUGGAAUCAGAAACUUCAAGGGUAAAACAUUCUGAGGAAAUAGAGGGUUUAAAGAAGACAUCACAAGAAAUGCAUGGUCUCCUUCACCAACUAUUGAGCUUCAACCAGGGUCAACACAAUCCAGGGUCAUAAAGUUACUAAGCCCCCAACAGUGAACUAUUGUAGGAUGUUUCUGUUCUGAAAUUUGGUUUUUAGUUGAACUAUGUCUAGUUUUAUCAAUAGUUGGUUGCUAGUUGUUUACAUGUACAACUAAGUAGGUCCAAGUUUGUUGAUUUUUGUUACUGGUAGCUCCAAGUUGUGUUGAACAUUGUUGCUUCUUAUAAGACGUAUUGUGACCUA